UACGGGGGGAGCAAGCGUUGUUCGGAUUUACUGGCGUAAAGGGCGCGUAGGCGGCCACCGCAAGUCGACUGUGAAAUCUCCGGGCUUAACCCGGAACGGUCAGCCGAUACUGCGGGGCUAGAGUGCAGAAGGGGCAACUGGAAUUCUCGGUGUAGCGGUGAAAUGCGUAGAUAAUCGAGAGGAACACCUGUGGCGAAGGCGGCCACCUGGACAGACACUGACGCUGGAGACGCGAAAGCGUGGGGAGCAAACAGG
rnacentral:rRNA from 1 species